rnacentral:rRNA from 1 species
AUUGAACGCUGGCGGCAUGCCUUACACAUGCAAGUCGAACGGCAGCAUGAUCUAGCUUGCUAGAUUGAUGGCGAGUGGCGAACGGGUGAGUAAUACAUCGGAACGUGCCCUGUAGUGGGGGAUAACUAGUCGAAAGAUUAGCUAAUACCGCAUACGACCUGAGGGUGAAAGUGGGGGACCGCAAGGCCUCAUGCUAUAGGAGCGGCCGAUGUCUGAUUAGCUAGUUGGUGAGGUAAAGGCUCACCAAGGCGACGAUCAGUAGCUGGUCUGAGAGGACGAUCAGCCACACUGGGACUGAGACACGGCCCAGACUCCUACGGGAGGCAGCAGUGGGGAAUUUUGGACAAUGGUCGAAAGCCUGAUCCAGCAAUGCCGCGUGUGUGAAGAAGGCCUUCGGGUUGUAAAGCACUUUUGUCCGGAAAGAAAUGGCUCUGGUUAAUACCUGGGGUCGAUGACGGUACCGGAAGAAUAAGGACCGGCUAACUACGUG